UGGGUUGUGACUUAGUGGUAGAGCGCUCACCUAGCGUGUGAGAGGCACUGGGUUCGGUCCUCAGCACCACAU
rnacentral:tRNA from 1 species